AAAAGAAGAAGAAAAAAAAGACAACAUGAAGCGGAAAGGAAAAAAA
rnacentral:sRNA from 1 species